GCGGCCUAAAGCUAACGUACCACAGCUGCUCAACGACCAAUAUGGCCGAUCACCUAAAAGCGGUGCAUCCCCAGGCCAUGCCACAUGCGUCAGGAAGCACCUGGAGCACCACGCAACUGGUGUUGGUCCAUCUUUUGUCGGCGAAGAGAAAGGAGGACAUCACUAAGAGGAUUGUGCAUUUCAUCGCCCAAGAUAUGAGUCAUCGCUGGGCUGGUGCGAGCGGAUGGAUGGAUGAUGGCAGCUCCGUGAAGAUGGACGAGUGGCUUCGAUACCUGCCACAUUACUCUUACUCAGAUCAGUGAGCAGAAAUUACAGGUGGAAUCUAAAGGUUGUCUGCACUCCAGGGUUUAUUGUCUUCUGUAUAAGCUGCAUUUGACUUGCUCUCAAUGCUCA